GGAUAAAUGACCGAGUGGUUUAAGGUGUCAGUCUUGAAAACUGAAGUACUGUAAAAAGUACCGUGGGUUCGAAUCCCACUUUAUCCU
rnacentral:tRNA from 1 species